ensembl:snoRNA SNORD15 Small nucleolar RNA SNORD15
CUUCAGUGAUGAUACGAUGACGAGUCGGAACGGGACUCAAACUGGUUCUGGGGGUCACUGGUGUAGAUCCACGUUCUGUGGUUCUGCUCCAGUUCCCCAGAGCAGGAAGUCCUUUACGGUUGAAGACAUCGAGGCAUUUGUCUGAGAAGG